rnacentral:rRNA from 1 species
UACAGAGGUCUCGAGCGUUGUUCGGAUUCAUUGGGCGUAAAGGGUGCGUAGGCGGUCGCGCAAGUCGGAUGUGAAAUCUCAGGGCUCAACCCUGAAACUGCAUUCGAUACUGCGUGGCUAGAGUGCUGGAGAGGAGACUGGAAUUUACGGUGUAGCAGUGAAAUGCGUAGAUAUCGUAAGGAAGACCAGUGGCGAAGGCGAGUCUCUGGACAGCAACUGACGCUGAGGCACGAAGGCCAGGGGAGCAAACGGG